GACGAACCGUCCGAACGUUAUUCGGAAUCACUGGGCUCAAAGGGUGCGUAGGCGGCGCGGAAAGUUGGGUGUGAAAUCCCUCGGCUCAACCGAGGAAUUGCGCCCAAAACUACCGUGCUCGAGGGAGAUAGAGGUGAGCGGAACUUAGGGUGGAGCGGUGAAAUGCGUUGAUAUCCUAAGGAACACCGGUGGCGAAAGCGGCUCACUGGAUCUCUUCUGACGCUGAGGCACGAAAGCUAGGGUAGCAAACGGG
rnacentral:rRNA from 1 species